GGGCGGUUAGCUCAGUUGGGAGAGCAACUGGUUUACACCCAGUAGGUCGGCGGUUCGAGCCCGUCACCGCCCACCA
rnacentral:tRNA from 1 species